rnacentral:lncRNA from 1 species
UCAGUAAAAUAUUGAGUUGAAUCCAUUUUAUGGAUAAAUUGGUAUAUUGAGAUCUGAUAUUUUAAGAUUGAUAUCCUUUUGAUCUCGUAUAAUGAUGCCACAUAUCUCGAGGUUGGUUUAAUGCACCAACAGAAUUGAAUAUUUGGAUAUGAAUUGGAUAGUUGUCUAUCGAUAUCUAUAUUCAUUUUUCUUUAGCAGAUAUGGAUA